GUAGUUGAACCUUGGGCCUGGCUGGCCGGUCCGCCUCACCACGUGUACUGGUCCGGCCGGGCCUUUCCCUCUGUGGAACCCCAUGCCCUUCACUGGGUGUGGCGGGGAAACAGGACUUUUACUGUGAAAAAAUUAGAGUGCUCCAGGCAGGCCUAUGCUCGAAUACAUUAGCACCAAAUAAUAGAAUAGGACGUGUGGUUCUAUUUUGUUGGUUUCUAGGACCGCCGUAAUGAUUAAUAGGGACAGUCGGGGGCAUCAGUAUUCAAUUGUCAGAGGUGAAAUUCUUGGAUUUAUUGAAGACUAACUACUGCCACCACAUUUGCCAAGGAUGUUUUCAUUAAUCAGGAACGAAAGUUAGGGGAUCGAAGACGAUCAGAUACCGUCGUAGUCUUAACCAUAAACUAUGCCGACUAGGGAUCGGACGGUGUUAUUUUUUGACCCGUUCGGCACCUUACGAGAAAUCAAAGUGCUUGGGCUCCAGGGGGAGUAUGGUCGCAAGGCUGAAACUUAAAGAAAUUGACGGAAGGGCACCACCAGGGGUGGAGCCUGCGGCUUAAUUUGACUCAACACGGGGAAACUCACCAGGUCCAGACACAAUAAG
rnacentral:rRNA from 1 species